CACGUAGGGUGCGAGCGUUGUCCGGAAUUAUUGGGCGUAAAGAGCUCGUAGGCGGUGUGUCGCGUCGGCCGUGAAAACCUGCAGCUUAACUGUGGGCUUGCGGUCGAUACGGGCAUCACUGGAGUUCGGCAGGGGAGACUGGAAUUCCUGGUGUAGCGGUGAAAUGCGCAGAUAUCAGGAAGAACACCAAUGGCGAAGGCAGCUCUCUGGGACGGUACUGACGCUGAGGCGCGAAAGCGUGGGGAGCAAACAGG
rnacentral:rRNA from 1 species